rnacentral:rRNA from 1 species
AAACUUUCAACAACGGAUCUCUUGGUUCUCGCAUCGAUGAAGAACGCAGCGAACUGCGAUACGUAAUGUGAAUUGCAGAAUUCCGUGAAUCAUCGAAUCUUUGAACGCACAUUGCGCCCCUUGGUAUUCCAGGGGGCAUGCCUGUUUGAGCGUCAU